AGAAAAAACGGAAAAGUUAGAGAAUAUAAUUCUUCAGUCAAAUUAUUCAGAUAAUUAUUCCUCUGAGUCUGUUUGAAAGUUGGUGGAUGAAGACUGGAUGAUACAAUCAGCUGUCGAGUAAAUGGAAAUAUAAAUGAAUUUUCUUCUUUAAUAAAUAUGUUUUAUUGUA